rnacentral:rRNA from 1 species
GACGAACGCUGGCGGCGUGCCUAAUACAUGCAAGUCGAACGCAGUGGGGACGGGUGAGUAACACGUGGGUAACCUCCCAUCAGAGGGGAUAACACUUGGAAACAGGUGCUAAACCGAUAAUGAUGGCGGGACCUGCGGUGGAUUAGCCAGGUGGAGUGGUAACGGCUAACCAGGGCCACGAGGCAGACCCGACCGGCGAUGAUGACCGUCCACACGGUGACUGAGACACGGCCCAGACUCCUACGGGAUGCAGCAUGGGGGAAUCGUCGGCAAUGGACGAAAGUCUGACCGAGCAAUGCCGCGUGAGUGAAGAAGGUUUUCGGGUUGUAAAUUUCUGUUGUUAGAGAGGCGGUAGCUGCAGAGAAAGCCACGGCUAACUACGUGCCAGCCGCCGCGGUAAUUC